AGAUCGCUACUCACCGUACUAGACGUAUAAGAGUGACCGUGCAAUCUCAUGUGUAUUGCAAUUGUGAAGAGAUGGGUCGGAGAGUAAAAAUGGAACAAAUAUACUCGGCUGAGAUCUGCAGCUGCUUAAUCUAUCGUUGGUCAUCAUCCUCUGUGCUGGGACUCUCUUGUGUAUAGAUCACUACUCACUGUAUACUAGAGGUAUAAGAGUGACCGUGCAAUCUGAUGUGUAUUGCAAUUGUGAAGAGAUGGGUCGGAGAGUAAAAAUGGAACAAGUAUACUCGGCUGAGAUCUGCAGCUGCUUAAUCUCUCGAUGGUCAUCAUCCUCUGUGCUGGGACUCUCUUGUGUAUAGAAGUGGUGACCGUGCAAUCUGAUAUGUUAUCGCAAUUGUGAAGAGAUGGGUCGGAGAGUAAAAAUGGAACAAGUAUACUCGACUGAGAUCUGUAGCUGCUUUAUCUCUCGAUGGUCAUCAUCCUCUGUGCUGGGACUCUCUUGUGUAUAGUUACGCAUUGAAAGUGAUUCAACAAGGAGACUCACUCCCUACACAGAGUGGUGUGUACACAAUAACAAGCACCAUGGAAACGAUACAAGAUCUAAAGACAAAGAGGAUGUUGAAGGUAGCAUUUGACUAAAUGGAGUGAACUUUAUUGUACACUGAUCCGGAACUUUUAUCUCUUAUUGUGAGAGCUGCUGUGAUGAAAGUCAUAGAUAUUCAUAAUGACUCUGACAGUUGUAUCAUUGGUUCCCGUCAUGCAUGCAUGCACACUGCAGGUCAGUGGUGGUCUGCACUAACCACCUCUAGACAUCAUCUUGUUUACUACUAGUAUAUGCAUAUCAUGGUAGGCUAUA